rnacentral:misc_RNA from 1 species
GGAAGAACGUAGUGAAAUGCGAUAAGUAAUGUGAAUUGCAGAAUUCAGUGAAUCAUCGAAUCUUUGAACGCACCUUGCGCCCUUUGGCUAUUCCGAAGGGCAUGCCUGUUUGAGUAUCAUGAACACCUCAACUCUCAUGGUUUGCCAUGAUGAGCUUGGACUUUGGGGGUCUUGCCGGCCUAUGGGUCGGCUCCUCUCAAAUUAAUCAGCUUGCCAGUGUUUGGUGGCAUCACAGGUGUGAUAACUAUCUACGCUUGUGGUUUUCCAUCAGGUAACCUUCAGUGAUGGAGGUUCGCUGGGGCUCAUAAAUGUCUCUCCUCAGUGAGGACAGCUUUUUUGAACGUUUGAUCUCAAAUCAGGUAGGACUACCCGCUGAACUUAAGCAUAUCAAUAAGCGGAGGA